UCAUUUCACCCUUCCAUCCUCCUUGCCCUGGGGCAAAGUCUGGCAGUUGUUGAGAAAACAGUCAAUGGCCACUUUGCCCUUUGGUUGGGAAGCACGUGGCCAGUGAUGUGUGGCUUCCCAGCCCCCAGCCAAGCAGGGGAAAAACCAGGAUUGCUUUGCAAACACCCGGGCCCCCAGAGAGGAGCAGGGUCCAGUGCUUCUCAGCCUCCGGAGUGAUAAAUGGGAAUAAUAAUAGCUAUUCUGAUCAGUCCUCUGUCGGGCAUAAAGCAGAGCUGGACACGAGCUUGAAGCAGGAAGCAAAAACCUGAAGACAAUGAGGGUCUUCCAGGGACGGUGGAGCACGUGAUCAGAGAAGCUGCCCCAAGCAUGGAGCCACAGAAAGAUGUAGAAAGAAAUCUUUGGUUCCCCUGAGCCCAGCAUGUUUCCUACAGUCCGAGACUGUGAGGUUGCUCUGUAUCUUGUUGACUGGCUUACUUUUAUGCGAACUUUUCCAAGUAAAAUUCUAUUCCUAGCAACCAGACAAUUCCCGAUGGAAUUCCUGAUUAUGUCCUAUUAAUAAAUGAUUCGAGGUAUGAA